rnacentral:rRNA from 1 species
CCUGGAGCUUGCUCUAGGGAAUUAGUGGCGAACGGGUGAGUAACACGUGAGUAACCUGCCCUUGACUCUGGGAUAACCUCCGGAAACGGAAGCUAAUACCGGAUAUGACGCACGGAGGCAUCUCCUGUGCGUGGAAAGAACUUCGGUCAAGGAUGGACUCGCGGCCUAUCAGGUAGUUGGUGAGGUAACGGCCCACCAAGCCUACGACGGGUAGCCGGCCUGAGAGGGUGACCGGCCACACUGGGACUGAGACACGGCCCAGACUCCUACGGGAGGCAGCAGUGGGGAAUAUUGCACAAUGGGCGAAAGCCUGAUGCAGCAACGCCGCGUGAGGGAUGACGGCCUUCGGGUUGUAAACCUCUUUUAGUAGGGAAGAAGCGAAAGUGACGGUACCUGCAGAAAAAGCACCGGCUAACUACGUGCCAGCAGCCGCGGUAAUACGUAGGGUGCGAGCGUUGUCCGGAAUUAUUGGGCGUAAAGAGCUCGUAGGCGGUCUGUCGCGUCUGCUGUGAAAACCCGAGGCUCAACCUCGGGCUUGCAGUGGGUACGGGCAGACUAGAGUGCGGUAGGGGAGAAUGGAAUUCCUGGUGUAGCGGUGGAAUGCGCAGAUAUCAGGAGGAACACCGAUGGCGAAGGCAGUUCUCUGGGCCGUAACUGACGCUGAGGAGCGAAAGCGUGGGGAGCGAACAGGAUUAGAUACCCUGGUAGUCCACGCCGUAAACGUUGGGCGCUAGAUGUGGGGACCAUUCCACGGUUUCCGUGUCGCAGCUAACGCAUUAAGCGCCCCGCCUGGGGAGUACGGCCGCAAGGCUAAAACUCAAAGGAAUUGACGGGGGCCCGCACAAGCGGCGGAGCAUGCGGAUUAAUUCGAUGCAACGCGAAGAACCUUACCAAGGCUUGACAUACACGAGAACGGGCCAGAAAUGGUCAACUCUUUGGACACUCGUGAACAGGUGGUGCAUGGUUGUCGUCAGCUCGUGUCGUGAGAUGUUGGGUUAAGUCCCGCAACGAGCGCAACCCUCGUUCUAUGUUGCCAGCGCGUAAUGGCGGGAACUCAUAGGAGACUGCCGGGGUCAACUCGGAGGAAGGUGGGGAUGACGUCAAAUCAUCAUGCCCCUUAUGUCUUGGGCUUCACGCAUGCUACAAUGGCCGGUACAAAGGGCUGCAAUACCGUAAGGUGGAGCGAAUCCCAAAAAGCCGGUCUCAGUU